rnacentral:tRNA from 1 species
GCCGGGGUGCCCUAGCGGUAGGGGGCAGAUGUCUAGCCCAGGCCUGCUAAGCCUGUGGGCCAAAAGCCCGCGCGGGUUCGAGUCCCGCCCCCGGCGCCA